UACGGGGGGUGCGAGCGUUGUCCGGAUUUAUUGGGCGUAAAGAGCUCGUAGGCGGUUUGUCGCGUCGGCCGUGAAAUCUCCACGCUUAACGUGGAGCGUGCGGUCGAUACGGGCAGACUUGAGUUCGGUAGGGGAGACUGGAAUUCCUGGUGUAGCGGUGAAAUGCGCAGAUAUCAGGAGGAACACCGGUGGCGAAGGCGGGUCUCUGGGCCGAUACUGACGCUGAGGAGCGAAAGCGUGGGGAGCGAACAGG
rnacentral:rRNA from 1 species